CGUGGAUUUAUUAUGACUGGAUAUGACCCCUCCAAACGCUUGAAACAAAGUUAUGUUAGGAACGGGAGAGAACCCCGUCCUAACAUACCUAAAAUGAAAGUCUGACUACCUCGAAAUCGGAUUGGGGGAGAGGCCUUACAGCGCCCUAAUGUGCCCCUGCAGCCAUGUUAGGAACAGGAGGAGAACCUCAUCCUGACAUGAGCAAAGUCAAAGGUCCGAUUCUUUUAGACCGGAUGGGGGGAGAGGCCUUACAGCGCCC
rnacentral:lncRNA from 1 species